UGCCGCCCAAGAUUCCUUUAUUGCGAAGAACACCCAGAGAACUGUUCCCGUUGCUUAUACCCCAUGUGGCCCUGGUUCUGAGCCAGGACUUGGAGCUCUCUAAACCUCACAAGUGCCCCCAGGGAGGGCGGCUCAUUCCCUUUGCACAGGGCAUUUUCCGCAACUGGCUCUAUUUUGUGCCACUCCUGCUGCUUGUGCCACUGCUGCUGUGUUGUGUCUGGCGGCUGUGCCGCAAGCAGACUGUCAAGGAGCCACCACCUGUGCAGAAGCCAGAAAAGGAGCCAGAGCAGGAAAAACCACCAUCACCACCACCACCGCCUCCGCCUCCACCACCUCCACUCCCGCCUCCGCCCCCAGCUCCUGUAAACACCUGCCCCACUGUGAUUAUUUGUUGCUGUGGAUGCCAAGGAGUGGGCGGGAUGAGAAGGAUAGAGGGGAGGUACCUCAGCUUAGCCCUUGCACAGUCCCAAUAUGCACAGGCUCCCUGCUGCCCAAGGAUCUGCUUUCCACACAGCCAGGAGUGCCUUUCCCUACCACAGGCUCCCUGCAGCCCAAGGAUGUGCCUGAGACACAGCCGGGAGUGCCUCGCCCUCAAACAGGCUCGCUGCAGCCCAAACAUCUGCCUGAGACACAGCCAACACAGCAGGGAGUGCCUUGCCCGCAAACAGGCUCCCUGCAGCCCAAGGAUCUGCCUGAGACACAGCCCGGAGUACUUUUCCCAAGCACAGACUCUGUGCAACCCAAAGAGCUGCCUUCAACCCAGCCGGGAGUGCCUCCCCCUCACCUGCUCCUCCAGGUGCCGCCUCCCCCCAGCUAGGUGCUUGAGGCCUCCCUCCAGGAUGCUGCCGCUGCUGUCCCCACUGCUCAGGCACACGGCAGAACCCCCUUUGUCACUCCCCCCCUCAGAGCCCAACUUCUAAGGCACCAAACACCCAAGAUUAACAGGCUUUUGUUGCUGAACUGGACAUAUACAUUGAGUCUUUUCUUGCGGUCAAAGGAGUUGAAUUCUUGCUGAUCAACUAAAGUUGAUUGUGUUUGACACCAGGGAGCUUGUCUUUUGAGUGAGCUGGAUUUAUACUGCACCUGCCACGACACAGUGCCCUGGUGCCGUCGGGAUGCCAGGCAUGGAUGCAUUCCACUCCCAACAGCCCCGAAUUCAUCUGUCAUCAAGGGCUGGGACACAUGAGGUCUUAGGCCAAAUUCUCCAUUUAAAAAGCUCAAAAAGUGUUUGAAAUAUGAAUU
rnacentral:lncRNA from 1 species